UAAGACUAACAAGGAUUCCCCUAGUAACGGCGAGUGAAGAGGGAAGAGCCCAAGAUUGAAAGCUGGCGUCUUCGGCGUCCGCAUUGUAAUCUCAAGAAGUGUUUUCCGCUUCGGACCAUGCCUAAGUCCCUUGGAAAAGGGCAUCAUAGAGGGUGAUAAUCCCGUACAUGGCAUGGAGCGCCCGAAGCUUUGUGAUACGCUUUCUAAGAGUCGAGUUGUUUGGGAAUGCAGCUCAAAAUGGGUGGUAAAUGCCAUCUAAGGCUAAAUAUUGGGGAGAGACCGAUAGCGAACAAGUACAGUGAUGGAAAGAUGAAAAGAACUUUGAAAAGAGAGUUAAACAGUACGUGAAAUUGCCAAAAGGGAAGGGUAGGAGGUCAGAGAUGCGGCCUGGGAUUCAGCCUUGCUUUUUGCUUGGUGUUUUUCCCAGGUGGCAGGCCAACGUCGGUUUUGGGCACUGGAGAAGGGUGGGAGGAAUGUGGCACCUCUCGGGGUGUGUUAUAGCCUCCUACUGGAUACAGCGACCGAGACCGAGGACAGCAGCGUACUCGCAAGAGCGGGCCUUCGGGCACCUUUACGCUUAGGGUCGUUGGCAUAAUGGCCCUCUACCACCC
rnacentral:rRNA from 1 species